rnacentral:rRNA from 1 species
GACGAACGCUGGCGGCGUGCUUAACACAUGCAAGUCGAACGAAGUGGCGAACGGGUGAGUAACGCGUAAUCAACUUGCCCUUCAGAGGGGGACACCAGUUGGAAACGACUGCUAAUCCCGCAUACUGAAGGAGGGGAUUGCGUCUGAUUAGCUAGUUGGAGGGGUAACGGCCCACCAAGGCGAUGAUCAGUCGCCGGGCUGAGAGGAUGAACCGCCACAUUUGGACUGAGACACGGCCCAGACUCCUACGGGAGGCAGCAGGGGGGAAUCUUCCGAAAUGGAGGAAAGGCUGACUGAGCAACGCCGCGGGGGUGAUGACGGCCUUCGGGUUGGAAAGCUCUGUUAAGCGGGACGCGGUACCGGAAUAGAAAGCCACGGCUAACUACGUGCCAGCAGCCGCGGUAAUAC